ensembl:snRNA U2 U2 spliceosomal RNA
AUCGCUUUUCGGCCUUUUGGCUAAGAUCAAGUGUAGUAUCUGUUCUUAUCAGUUUAAUAUCUGAUACGUCCUCUAUUCAAGGACAAUAUUAAAUGGAUUUUUGGAACUAGGAGUUCAAAUAGGGGCUUGCUCUGUCCACUCCACGCAUUGACCUGGUACUGCACUACUUCCAGGAACGGUGCACCCCCU